rnacentral:rRNA from 1 species
ACUCCUACGGGAGGCAGCAGUGGGGAAUAUUGCACAAUGGGCGCAAGCCUGAUGCAGCCAUGCCGCGUGUAUGAAGAAGGCCUUCGGGUUGUAAAGUACUUUCAGCAGUGAGGAAGGUGGGUAUGUUAAUAGCAUAUUCAUUUGACGUUAGCUGCAGAAGAAGCACCGGCUAACUCCGUGCCAGCAGCCGCGGUAAUACGGAGGGUGCGAGCGUUAAUCGGAAUUACUGGGCGUAAAGCGCAUGCAGGUGGUUUGUUAAGUCAGAUGUGAAAGCCCGGGGCUCAACCUCGGAAUUGCAUUUGAAACUGGCAAACUAGAGUACUGUAGAGGGGGGUAGAAUUUCAGGUGUAGCGGUGAAAUGCGUAAGAGAUCUGAAGGAAUACCGGUGGCGAAGGCGGCCCCCUGGACAGAUACUGACACUCAGAUGCGAAAAGCGUGGGGAGCAAACAGGAUUAGAUACCCUGGUAGGCGU